GACGAACGCUGGCGGCGUGGAUUAGGCAUGCAAGUCGAACGGUAUCAUCCUUUCGGGGGUGAGAGAGUGGCGAACUGGUGAGUAACACGUAGGUUAUCUACCCUCAAGACGGGGACAACCCAGGGAAACUUGGGCUAAUACCGGAUGUGAGCAACUUUUAGUUGUUUGAAAGGUGGCGUAAGCUGUCGCUUGGGGAUGAGCCUGCGUCCUAUUAGUUAGUUGGUGAGGUAACGGCUCACCUAGGCAAUGAUAGGUAGGCGGCCUUAACGGGUGGUCGCCCACACUGGGAUUGAGAUACGGCCCAGACUCCUACGGGAGGCAGCAGUCGAGAAUAGUCUACAAUGGUCGAAAGACUGAUAGUGCGACGCCGCGUGAACGAAGAAGCCCUUCGGGUGUAAAGUUCUUUUAUACGUGAGCAGUGCCCUUUAUAUGAAUAGUAUAGAGGGAGGGAUUUAAGCGUAUGAAUAAGCAACGGCUAACUCCGUG
rnacentral:rRNA from 1 species